GAGGACGUGGCGUAAUGGUAGCGCAUUGGAUUUCGGUUUCCUCCAAAGGCUGCGGGUUCGAGUCCUGUCGUCCUCU
rnacentral:tRNA from 3 species